rnacentral:rRNA from 1 species
CAUUAUAUAAGUUAUCGUUUAUUUGAUAGUACCUUACUACUUGGAUAACCGUGGUAAUUCUAGAGCUAAUACAUGCUGAAAAUCCCGACUUCGGAAGGGAUGUAUUUAUUAGAUUAAAAACCAAUGCCCUCUGGGCUCUCUGGUGAUUCAUAAUAACUUCUCGAAUCGCAUGGCCUUGCGCCGGCGAUGGUUCAUUCAAAUUUCUUCCCUAUCAACUUUCGAUGUUUGGGUAGUGGCCAAACAUGGUUGCAACGGGUAACGGAGGGUUAGGGCUCGACCCCGGAGAAGGAGCCUGAGAAACGGCUACUACAUCCAAGGAAGGCAGCAGGCGCGCAAAUUACCCAAUCCCGAUUCGGGGAGGUAGUGACAAUAAAUACUGAUACAGGGCUCUUUUGGGUCUUGUAAUUGGAAUGAGUACAAUUUAAAUCCCUUAACGAGGAACAAUUGGAGGGCAAGUCUGGUGCCAGCAGCCGCGGUAAUUCCAGCUCCAAUAGCGUAUAUUAAAGUUGUUGUGGUUAAAAAGCUCGUAGUUGAACCUUGGGCCUGGCUGGCCGGUCCGCCUCACCGCGUGUACUGGUCCGGCCGGGUCUUUCCCUCUGUGGAACCCCAUGCCCUUCACUGGGUGUGGCGGGGAAACAGGACUUUUACUUUGAAAAAAUUAGAGUGCUCCAGGCAGGCCUAUGCUCGAAUACAUUAGCAUGGAAUAAUGAAAUAGGACGUGCGGUUCUAUUUUGUUGGUUUCUAGGACCGCCGUAAUGAUUAAUAGGGACAGUCGGGGGCAUCAGUAUUCAAUUGUCAGAGGUGAAAUUCUUGGAUUUAUUGAAGACUAACUACUGCGAAAGCAUUUGCCAAGGAUGUUUUCAUUAAUCAGGAACGAAAGUUAGGGGAUCGAAGACGAUCAGAUACCGUCGUAGUCUUAACCAUAAACUAUGCCGACUAGGGAUCGGACGAUGUUAUUUUUUGACUCGUUCGGC